rnacentral:rRNA from 1 species
UACAGAGGUCUCAAGCGUUGUUCGGAUUCAUUGGGCGUAAAGGGUGCGUAGGCGGCGCGGUAAGUCGGGUGUGAAAUCUUGGAGCUUAACUCCGAAACUGCAUUCGAUACUGCCGUGCUUGAGGACUGGAGAGGAGACUGGAAUUUACGGUGUAGCGGUGAAAUGCGUAGAUAUCGUAAGGAAGACCAGUGGCGAAGGCGGGUCUCUGGACAGCUCCUGACGCUGAGGCGCGAAGGCUAGGGGAGCAAACGGG